rnacentral:rRNA from 1 species
GGGAAACUGCCCGAUGGAGGGGGAUAACUACUGGAAACGGUAGCUAAUACCGCAUAACGUCGCAAGACCAAAGUGGGGGACCUUCGGGCCUCACACCAUCGGAUGUGCCCAGAUGGGAUUAGCUAGUAGGUGGGGUAAUGGCUCACCUAGGCGACGAUCCCUAGCUGGUCUGAGAGGAUGACCAGCCACACUGGAACUGAGACACGGUCCAGACUCCUACGGGAGGCAGCAGUGGGGAAUAUUGCACAAUGGGCGCAAGCCUGAUGCAGCCAUGCCGCGUGUAUGAAGAAGGCCUUCGGGCUGUAAAGUACUUUCAGCGGGGAGGAAGGCGGUGAAGUUAAUAGCUUCACCGAUUGACGUUACCCGCAGAAGAAGCACCGGCUAACUCCGUGCCAGCAGCCGCGGUAAUACGGAGGGAGCUAGCGUUGUUCGGAAUUACUGGGCGUAAAGCGUGCGUAGGCGGUUAUUCAAGUCAGAGGUGAAAGCCCGGGGCUCAACCCCGGAACUGCCUUUGAAACUAGGUAGCUAGAAUCUUGGAGAGGUCAGUGGAAUUCCGAGU